ensembl:ribozyme RNase_MRP RNase MRP
GUUUGCUAUGAAGGCCUGUUUUCUAGGCUGCAUAAGAGGGACCUGUUCCUUAUCCUUCUGCUUAGGGGAAAGUUCCCGAAUCAUAGGCCGAGAGUGCUGCGUACACACAGGCCGAGUAGACUUCCCACACGAGUCACUGUUAGUCUCUCAAGGGGCUUUUACAGUGUUAAUUCUUCCAAUCUACAAACAGGGACUGUCUUUCCAUUUGUUUGUGUUUUCUUCAGUUUCUCUCACCAAUGUUUUAUGUUUGCCAGUGUGCAAGGAGAUCAUGUUCCUAGUUAA